UUCGGCUCAUAGUAAAGCGGCGGACGGGUGAGUAACACGUGGAUAAUCUGCCCUUCGGCGGGGGACAACAGUCCGAAAGGAUUGCUAAUACCGCAUACGUCAGCGAGGUCUUCGGACCUUGUUGGGAAAGAUGGCCUCUUCAUGAAAGCUAUCUCCGAAGGAUGAGUCCGCGUCCCAUCAGCUUGUUGGCGGUGUAAGAGACCACCAAGGCUAAGACGGGUAGCUGGUCUGAGAGGAUGAUCAGCCACACUGGAACUGAGACACGGUCCAGACUCCUACGGGAGGCAGCAGUGGGGAAUAUUGGGCAAUGGGCGCAAGCCUGACCCAGCCAUGCCGCGUGAGUGAUGAAGGCCUUCGGG
rnacentral:rRNA from 1 species